UUGUUGUCGUUGUUGCGGUCGAACGACUUGCGAAAGAUCAUCGUCUCGACAGAAUCCUGACGUUAAGGAUAUUUUCUGCCGCGUCAACGGAUUUCGUCCGAUGACUAUGAUAAUUCGUUCUACAUCGAUUCUGCAUGGUGUAAUAAUGAAAUCAGAAUCUUUCCUAGGCCACUCCCCUUUAUUAUUACGUUUCAUUGUAAAGCAAGGUGGAACGGUACUCGCGGUAUGACAACAAUGUCUCUACCGAUAUUCAAUUACUCCGCUUGCGUAAUCCGGCCGAUUCACCUCUCUCGAGAGAGAGUUCGUAGAGUUCGAAGGAUGAUCCGGGUGAUCGUCCUUUCUCGUUCGAAUCCUCCUCCUUUUCGACCGAGUCACGUUGUAUCUCUCUCCCACCCCCCUCUCUAUUUCUCUCUUUCUUUCUCCUUUUCCAUUGCGUGACCUUGAAGCGCGAAUUGUCCAUAGCUUCCCUUCUUUCUCUUCUUCUCCUCUUUCGAAGGAGUAGAAGGAGAAUAUCUUCUUGAUUCGAUUCGCAAGGGUUUAUACCGUUAGCGUCUUAUUCGACGCGCUUCGAAGCACCGAGCGCGAAAGGAAAGAACGAUUAGAUGGAUGGAUAGAUCGGGAAGGAGAGAAGGAGACAGACAAAGAGAAAUGGGAGUAAGAAAGAGAAGGAGAAGACACAAUUGAAUGUUGGCGGUCUCGUGGGCGGGACCGAGUUCGAUUGUUUCUUUAUCGCGAUCACGCUCGUUCCUUCUUCUGCGAGCGCAAUGGCAAUCUCACCACCACCGACUAUGCUUCUUCGUCUCUACAGCUUUCUAUAUCUGUAUGUACAUUAAGUUUCCUUCUCGUUCGUAUGGAGAUUUCUCUCUCUCUCUCUCUCUCUCUCUGUUGUUCUUUCUUUCUUUCUUUCUUUCUGUCUUUCUUUCUUUCUUUCUUUCUUUCCUUCUUUAUUUCUUUCUUUCUUUCUUUCUUUCUUUCCUUCUUUCCUUCUCUUUCUCGUGCACUCGGUUAAGGCGGUGGGUGCGCUUAGAAUGCACCUUCUCCGCAGCAUUCCACGCGGAAAGAAAACUGAUCGUUACCUUUAGCACAAUUACAGUUCGCGGCUAUGGAACGUAUCCGCGAUCGAAUCAUCGAUCGGUCUCACCCUCCACUUUUCCAACUUUCCUCAGAUUCGAGGAGAUUGCGAGUGUAGGCCGUCCUGAAAGUUCGCCAGCCACGCUUCGAAUUCGAAAGCUUAGUAUAAUUAAAGGAUAGAUAGCAGGAAAGUCGAUCGUCGAAACGGAAUCGAUGCGCGAUCGAUCUUUGUUUAGCUAGAAGAAGGCGUUGUCACGGACUUUCCUUGGGUGGCACGGCUUUCCUGAGAACGGCACGAAGAAGGAUUCUCAAACGGAAUCGUAGGUCUCUCUCUCCCGCUCUCUCCUCGUUCGUCGGUCGGCAGGCAGGCAGGCAGGCAGGCAGGCAGUCAACCAGGCAGGCAGUAGGCGGAUAAGCUUUUCCGAGGGCCAGGUGAUCGGUGGCCCCGAUACGACGGCCCUCUCGACGGAGCCACUCGACUCGGAGGCACUUUGAGUUCUCGCCGGCCGCAGAACUUGUGGGAUUUCGCAAGCGAACGCUUGCUUCUCGGCUCAAGCGGUACUACUACUUCUCGGAGAGUAGCAAAGAUAAAGAAGAGAGAAGAAAUAGCUGAGAAGAGGUGCAGGUGAAGCGAAUGCGAGGCUUCGACCUGACACGCGAGAGAGUCGCGGAGAGAAACGAAGAGUGCACGAGGGCUCAACGGAGAGGGGGAGGAGGAUGGAAUAGAACGUUCAACGGGAGAACGGAAUAUGGGAUCACCUAAGGUUAGGGUUCGCGAUGCUGCGCCCACGUACCUAUUGUCUCUCUACUUUCGUGCGCGCUGCGGGAAAAAGGACGCGAGUUGCCUUCGGUGCGGCGCACCGCGUGCACACGCUCGACCUCGUCUCUCUCUCCCCCUUCCCCUUCCUCCCUCCCUCCCUCUUUCUUUCCGUGUAGCGCGCUUCACGGGAUGCUCCGAUACUCUAUUUCCUUGAGCGAGAGAGAAAGGUGCGUUCCUAGCUUAGAGUCGACGGCCCGUUGCGUCUAUCCAAGAGAGAGAGAGAGAGAGAGAGAGAAAGAGAGGAAGGCACGCAAGAAUACACACCUCCCGAAAUAACGCUUUAGGAAAUUUGUUUUUUCGCGCUCUCGGCUAUCGAUAUGUUUGUCCUUCCAUCGGCACGAGUUUAUACCCUUGCGAACGACGGACCGUUGUCGAAGGGUUUACGUUUGCUGGACGAAAGCAGAGGGAAAAGUUCGUAUGGUACCAGGAUGUCGUUUACGAUCGGAUUAAUCGGCUCGUUUAUUUUUUUUUUCGAAUCUCGAAGCGAGCGAGCGAGACUCGCUCGGAAAAAGUCCUUCUCUCGCGUCUAAUUAACAUACGUCGCACUCUUAUUUAUUACCCUUUACAGACUAUUUUAAUUAUCGUCAUUUGAAUCUUUCGUCGUAUGUUUUAUGUAUGAGAGAUGGAACGGAGCCGUGUAUUUUGGAAAAAAAUAAAAAGCUAUGGCACGCGCA